rnacentral:rRNA from 1 species
CACUAUGCUCAGCCGUAAACUUAGAUAAAACUUUACACCCCUUAUCCGCCAGGGUACUACGAGCAUUAGCUUAAAACCCAAAGGACUUGGCGGUGCUUCAAACCCACCUAGAGGAGCCUGUUCUAGAACCGAUAAUCCCCGUUAAACCUCACCCUCUCUUGUUCUUCCCGCCUAUAUACCGCCGUCGUCAGCCUACCCUGUGAAGGCCCCAUAGUAAGCAAAAUCAGUAAAACUUAAAACGCCAGGUCGAGGUGUAGCAUAUGAGAGGGAAAGAAAUGGGCUACAUUCCCUAAAUCUGGGCAUACGGACAGCAUAAUGAAAAGUAUGUUAGAAGGAGGAUUUAGCAGUAAGCAGAAAAUAGAGAGUUCUGCUGAAACUGGCCCUGAAGCGCGCACACACCGCCCGUCACUCUCCCCGAAACCCCUAAAAAAAUAAAUAAACCCCCUAACCAAAUAAAGGGGAGGCAAGUCGUAA